GAUGAAGAACGUAGCAAAAUGCGAUACUUGGUGUGAAUUGCAGAAUCCCGUGAACCAUCGAGUUUUUGAACGCAAGUUGCGCCCGAAGCCUUUUGGCCGAGGGCACGUCUGCCUGGGCGUCACGCAUCGCAUCGCCCCCCACAAUUCUCCGUAAAGGGAACAUGUGUUUUGGGGGCGGAUAUUGGUCUCCCGUGCUCAUGGCGUGGUUGGCCGAAAUAGGAGUCCUUUCGAUGGACGCACGAACUAGUGGUGGUCGUAAAAACCCUCGUCUUUUGUUUCGUGCUGUUGCUCGCAAGGUAAACUCUUUAAAAACCCCAAUGUGUCGUCUCUUGACGACGCUUCGACCGCGACCCCAGGUCAGGCGGGACUACCCGCUGAGUUUAAGCAUAUCAAUAAGAGGAGGA
rnacentral:misc_RNA from 1 species